UAUUAUUUAGGGGGAAAGUGGAAAAAUUAUCCCUCUUUUUCAGAUCAUCUUCAAGAUAGAAUACAAUUGGUCCGCUGUCUGCUGGAAAGGUUAUGACUGUGGAUGCAAAUGAUUUUCUCGCUAACCAGAACACGGGCCGAGGGUCACGGGAGGUCACUGCCUCUCACUGUGUGCCGGUAGCAGACACAGACGGUUAAUGACCGGGCACAGCAUCAAAGAGCCAGGGUAUG